AAGGGUGUAUAAGGCAUUCCACCUUGUGGCAAAUCGUCAAAGAUAAAAAUUUGAAAUUUCCUGAUGUAAACUCUAUGGAUGAACAAAACAAAAGG